rnacentral:tRNA from 1 species
GGUCUCGUGGUUAGGACAUUGGACUUUGAAUCCAGUAACUUGAGUUCAAAUCUUGGUAAGACCU